rnacentral:rRNA from 1 species
GAUGAACGCUGGCGGCGUGCCUAAUACAUGCAAGUCGAGCGAACGGACGAGAAGCUUGCUUCUCUGAUGUUAGCGGCGGACGGGUGAGUAACACGUGGAUAACCUACCUAUAAGACUGGGAUAACUUCGGGAAACCGGAGCUAAUACCGGAUGAUAUUUUGAACCGCAUGGUUCAAAAGUGAAAGACGGUCUUGCUGUCACUUAUAGAUGGAUCCGCGCUGCAUUAGCUAGUUGGUAAGGUAAUGGCUUACCAAGGCAACGAUGCAUAGCCGACCUGAGAGGGUGAUCGGCCACACGGGAACUGGGACACGGUCCAGACUCCCAAGGGAGGCAGCAGUAGGGAAUCUUCCGCAAUGGGCGAAAGCCUGACGGAGCAACGCCGCGUGAGUGAUGAAGGUCUUCGGAUCGUAAAACUCUGUUAUUAGGGAAGAACAUAUGUGUAAGUAACUGUGCACAUCUUGACGGUACCUAAUCAGAAAGCCACGGCUAACUACGUG